rnacentral:lncRNA from 1 species
AUGGAUUCUCCUUCCGAAGAACAACGGUUGGCUGGUCUGCUUAUUCAAAUGAGUUAUGUAAUAAGACAACCAGUGCCGGUUUACCAAGAGCAUCAGCAAGAUGUUUGAAUGACACUGGAUCUCCAAUGUUUGGUUCUCCUCACAAGCUGCAGUGUGAAUUGCUCCUCAGGGACAUUCAAGGAAAUAUCUCCAGCAGUCCAGGUGAUUUACUAAAGUUAGCCGUCAGUACUCAGAUCCUGACCUCCCAACCAGAGCAGCUGUCAGCUGACAACAUCACCACAGCAGCUCAGAUAGCUAACACACUGCUUCAGUCUGCAAAUAUCACAGAGGACAUCGCAGUGGCAGCUGUAACUACCAUCAGUCAGCUGCUGAAUGCCAGUGAGGAGAGUACACAGGAGAGAGACGCUGUCCAGAGCCUCACAGAGACCCUGGAGAAGUUUUCCAUGGACCAGCACAAUAAUGUGUCCUUGAUUGUUCAGCCCAAACUGGCAGUCCAGUCUGUCCAAGUACCAAGUGACUCAGUAGGGAUCCAGUUUACUGCUCUAACUGG